rnacentral:rRNA from 1 species
UACGAAGGGGGCUAGCGUUGUUCGGAAUUACUGGGCGUAAAGCGCGCGUAGGCGGUUUAGUAAGUUGGAUGUGAAAUCCCUAGGCUCAACCUAGGAAUUGCAUUCAAGACUGCUGAGCUAGAUGCCUGGAGAGGAGAGUGGAAUUCCCAGUGUAGAGGUGAAAUUCGUAGAUAUUGGGAAGAACACCAGUGGCGAAGGCGGCUCUCUGGCCAGGUUAUGACGCUGAGGCGCGAAAGUGUGGGGAGCAAACAGG